AUCCAGCUGACGAAUCCCAAAUAUGACGAAAUGCGCAUCCUGGAU
rnacentral:hammerhead_ribozyme from 1 species